rnacentral:rRNA from 1 species
AUUGAACGCUGGCGGAAUGCUUUACACAUGCAAGUCGAACUGCAGCACGGGGCAACCUGGUGGCGAGUGGCGAACGGGUGAGUAAUACAUCGGAACGCGCCCAAUCGUGGGGGAUAACGUAGCGAAAGCUACGCUAAUACCGCAUACGAUCUACGGAUGAAAGCGGGGGAUCGCAAGACCUCGCGCGAAUGGAGCGGCCGAUAGCAGAUUAGGUAGUUGGUGGGGUAAAGGCUCACCAAGCCGACGAUCUGUAGCUGGUCUGAGAGGACGACCAGCCACACUGGGACUGAGACACGGCCCAGACUCCUACGGGAGGCAGCAGUGGGGAAUUUUGGACAAUGGGCGCAAGCCUGAUCCAGCCAUUCCGCGUGCAGGAUGAAGGCCUUCGGGUUGUAAACUGCUUUUGUACGGAACGAAAAGGCUCUGGUUAAUACCCGGGGCUCAUGACGGUACCGUAAGAAUAAGCACCGGCUAACUACGUGCCAGCCGCCGCAGUAA